GUCCAUUCCAACACCUGACCACUCUCUUAGAGAAGGAUUUCCUAACAUCCAACCUGAACCUCCCCUGGCACAACUUGAGGCCAGGCAUCUGUCCAUUUACAUGAAGCUUUUAGAUUUUAAGAGUGGCUCCCAUUUUUUUUUGCCCCACAUAGAAUGGCAGGUUGCUUUAGCUUUACAGCAACCCCCUUGCCUUUUUUUCUGUGUCAUUGACCAACUUGAUUCUACACAAUAAAGGUGACUGGAAUUUGCAGGAGUAUCCUGAUUGCAUGAAUGAUAUGCAUAGAAACUCUCAUCACUUGAGGAGUCCAUUACGGAAUUAUAUCUUUAACUCACGUGCAAAACUAAUCAUAUGAAGAAUGUUCAUGCUGUAGUUGGUUGAGAAGAACAAUACAGUAAAUGGCCUUCCUUCUCUACCAGUUAGUUGAGAUCUUCUGUGCCAGAGGAGCUUUUGAUUAUGAUCUGGAUUCACAAUUGAUGUAAGUGUGGAGAUUAAUUAAGUGAAGAAGGCAUACCCC
rnacentral:lncRNA from 1 species